rnacentral:rRNA from 1 species
UACGGAGGGUGCGAGCGUUGUCCGGAAUCACUGGGCGUAAAGGGCGCGUAGGCGGCCUGAUAAGUAGGGGGUGAAAUCCUGCGGCUUAACCGCAGGGCUGCCUUCUAAACUGUCAGGCUAGAGCACAGUAGAGGCAGGUGGAAUUCCCGGUGUAGCGGUGGAAUGCGUAGAGAUCAGGAAGAACACCGGUGGCGAAGGCGCUCUGCUAGGCCGCAACUGACACUGAGGGACGAAAGCUAGGGGAGCGAACAGG